AUUUUCAGUUUUGUUCCUGCUCACCUGAAAAGAAGCAACCAUAGUCUGUAUUAGAUAGAAGAAAAACUGGAGAUUGGCAAUCCACUUACACAUGUGAUGGAAAAUCUGUAGAGCCAACUCUCAGGCUUUUACCAGUUUGUUACAUGAAGAUGAAUCUUAAAAGAGUAGAGAAAUAAAAUUUCAAUUUGAAAGAGACAAAGUUCGAAAAGAAAUAUUUGCCCAAAGGAAGUUAGUAAUGACUUGCAAAGAAAAGUGCUCGUCUAUCCUGACCUUUGGUUGGACCUCUAGAUGACCUUGCAGGCACCUUCAAGUUCAGUGUAUGUAUUAGCUUCAAGAUUAUUUCUGGAACACCUAAAAUAUGUGAGACAUUAUUUGAAGCACAGGAGAUACCAAGAUGAAAGUGACAGAGUCUUAAACUCAUGGAUAUAGAAGAGACAAUAAUCAAGAAAGUAUUUUAAAUCACAUUUGGAAUGUGGCAAAAAAAAGGAAGGAAAAAGGAUAAAAAAGAAGUGCGAGAAGAAGAAAAUAAGGAAUAUAGUUACUUAUUUCACAACAAACUGAGAAUAAAUUUCAUACAAAUGUUUGGGCUGUCUGUCAAAUACAACCAUGCAGAGGCAAGAAACUAGACGAUGUGUACAAAAGUUAUGUGAUGGGAGAAAUAGAAAUAGCGGAUAGAAACACUCCUACAACAAUCCAGUUAACAGAGGUUUCAGAUAAGUUUUUUUUUUUUUUUAAGAUUUUAUUUAUUUAUUUGAGACAGUAAGUGGGUGUGUAGGAGAGAGUACAAACAGUGGGGAGGGGCAGGAGCAGUGGGGGUAGAGGCCAACUCCCCACUGAGUGGGGAGCCAGCCCAUCAGCAGCCAAUCCCAGGACCCAUGAGAUCAUGACCUGAACCAAAGGCAGACACUUACGUGACUGAGCCACCCCGGCGCUUCCUCAGAUAAGUUCUUUAAAACUGACAUAUAUCAGGGUAAAUUUAUCCUAUGUAGAAUUAGGUAACAAUAAAAAGUGCAAAUGACUGCUAUAUGUAAAACAUGAAUAACCUUCAGACAUGAUAUUGAGUAAAAAACUUAAAGAGUUAAAGACCCUAAAGUCCACAUGUGGUAUGAGUUCAUUAUAUGAAGUUCAAAACCAUGAAAAAUAAAACUGUUUUGUUAGAUAUCAAAAGACUUUUUCCUGAGAAGGGCCAUGGAUGAGCUUGCUGAGAUAUUAAAAGAACUUAUAUGUUUAGAUCUAUGUGAUGAUACAAGUUUUUAUGCAUAAUUUUUAAUAUUAUCAACCUGUAUACUUAAAUUUGUACAUUUUACUGUACUAACCAUUACUUUGAUGAUACAAUAAAGUACAAAAUAUGCUAUAAACAAUUAUAUUCCAAGUAAUAUUAAAUGUAUAUGAUAUACAUAAUUUGAAAUAGUCAACAUAAUGGAACAAUAAAACUUGCCAAAUAUGACACAAGAAGAAAUAUAAAAGACAUAGAACACAUGAAAAUUCUAAAGCAUUGAAGAUUUAUAGCAAGGACUAAAGGAUUUCUCAAACAUAAAACUGACACAGAUGGAUUUACUGGUCAGUACACACAAAUUCAAUUAAUACCUCUGAACAUAUAAAAUUUUUUCCCAGCAUAGGGGGAAGUCAGAAGAUGGCAGAGAAGUAGCAGGCUGAGACUACUUCAGCUACCAGGAGAUCAGCUAGAUAGCUUAUCUGAAAAUUACAAACACCUGCAA